GCGCCAGUAGCUCAAUGGAUAGAGCACUUGACUACGGAUCAAGAGGUUGGGGGUUCGAGUCCCUUCUGGCGCG
rfam:Arcanobacterium sp. S3PF19 contig14, whole genome shotgun sequence.